rnacentral:rRNA from 1 species
GACGAACGCUGGCGGCGUGCUUAACACAUGCAAGUCGAACGGAAAGGCCCUGCUUUUGUGGGGUGCUCGAGUGGCGAACGGGUGAGUAACACGUGAGUAACCUGCCCUUGACUUUGGGAUAACUUCAGGAAACUGGGGCUAAUACCGGAUAGGAGCUCCUGCUGCAUGGUGGGGGUUGGAAAGUUUCGGCGGUUGGGGAUGGACUCGCGGCUUAUCAGCUUGUUUGUGGGGUAGUGGCUUACCAAGGCUUCGACGGGUAGCCGGCCUGAGAGGGUGACCGGCCACAUGGGGACUGAGAUACGGCCCAGACUCCUACGGGAGGCAGCAGUGGGGAAUAUUGCACAAUGGGCGGAAGCCUGAUACAGCAACGCCGCGUGCGGGAUGACGGCCUUCGGGUUGUAAACCGCUUUCGCCUGUGACGAAGCGUGAGUGACGGUAAUGGGUAAAGAAGCACCGGCUAACUACGUG